rnacentral:rRNA from 1 species
AUUGAACGCUGGCGGCGUGCUUAACACAUGCAAGUCGUGCGGUAACAGGCGUAGCAAUACGUGCUGACGAGCGGCGAACGGGUGCGUAAUACAUGGGAAUCUGCCCUUUAGUGGGGAAUAACCCGGCGAAAGCCGGGCUAAUGCCGCAUAAGAUCUUCGGAUGAAAGCGGGGGAUCGUAAGACCUCGCGCUGAUGGAUGAGCCCAUGUCGGAUUAGCUAGUUGGUGAGGUAACGGCUCACCAAGGCGACGAUCCGUAGCUGGUCUGAGAGGACGGCCAGCCACACUGGGACUGAGACACGGCCCAGACUCCUACGGGAGGCAGCAGUGGGGAAUAUUGGACAAUGGGCGAAAGCCUGAUCCAGCGACGCCGCGUGUGUGAAGAAGGCCUGCGGGUUGUAAAGCACUUUCGA